rnacentral:rRNA from 1 species
AAAAAAAAAAAAACAAGGUCCAAUUUGUUCUUUGUAAUUGGGAAUGAUGGGUGACGUAAAAUCUCACCAGAGUAACAAUUGGGAGGGCAGGUCGGGUGCCAGCAGCCGCGGUAAUUCCAGCUCCAAUAGCGUAUAUUAAACUUGUUGCAAUUAAAAAGCUCGUAUUUGAUUUUCUGCGUUGCCCGACUCGGCUACUUGCCUUGUCUGGUUUCUUUUUUGGGUUUUUCCCUUUUUUACUUUGAAAAAAUUAGAGUGUUUCAAGCAUACUUGUGUCUUGAAUACUUCAGCAUGAAAAAAUAAAGUAGGACUUUGGUUCUUUUUUGUUGGUUUGUGAACCUUAAUAAUGGUUAAAAGGAACGGUUGGGGGCAUUCUUAUUUAACUGUCAGAGGUGAAAUUCUUAAAUUUGUAAAAGACAAACUACUGCAAAAUUUUUUGCCAAGGACUUUUUCAUUAAUCAAGAACGAAAGUGGGGGGAUCAAAGACAACCACAUACCGUCGUAGUCCUAACCAUAAACCAUGCCGACUAGGGAUUGGAGGUCGUCAUUUUUCCACUCCUUCAGCACCAU